rnacentral:rRNA from 1 species
UAUGUGAUCGUCUCUCGCAUAUCAAUAAGCGGAGGAAAAGAAACUAACAAGGAUUCCCCUAGUAACGGCGAGUGAAGCGGGAAGAGCUCAAAUUUGAAAUCUUAAAGGGUUUCCCUUUACGAAUUGUAGUUUAAAGAAGUGUUCUCUGUUGAGGUUUUGGUAAAAGUUCUUUGGAAUAGGACAUCAUAGAGGGUGAGAAUCCCGUAUUUGACCUUUACUUUCAACUUUGUGAUACACUUUCAAAGAGUCGGAUUGUUUGGGAAUGCAGUCCAAAAUGGGUGGUAAAUUUCAUCUAAAGCUAAAUAUUGGCGAGAGACCGAUAGCGAACAAGUACCGUGAGGGAAAGAUGAAAAGAACUUUGAAAAGAGAGUUAAACAGUACGUGAAAUUGUCAAAAGGGAAGCGUUUGACACCAGUGUUGUUUUUCUGAAAAUCAAUUAAAGAACUGUUUAUGCUAAGUUGUUUAGACUUUAUCAGCUAUCUGUUUAGUUUUGAGCUUUUCUUUAAUGCACUUUUCAGUUAACAAGUCAACAUCAAUUUCUUUUGCUGUAAAAAAGCUUGAGGAAGGUGGCUUGAGAUUCGUCUUAAGUGUUUAUAGCCUCUUGCCUAUGCAGUCGGAGAGAUUGAGGUCUGCAGCGUAGAUCCUUCGGGGCUAAAUGCAUUUGUGCUAAGUUAUAGCAUUUUAUAGACAACUUGUUGACUAUGAUUUGUCUUGUAGCUUACUCGCUUAUGUUAUUUUACCUACGCUUAGGAUGUUGACACACGCGCGUGCUCG